rnacentral:rRNA from 1 species
AACGUAGGAGGCGAGCGUUAUCCGGAUUCACUGGGCGUAAAGCGCGUGCAGGCGGUUCGGUAAGUUGGAUAUGAAAUCUCCUGGCUUAACUGGGAGAGGCUAUUCAAUACUACCGGACUAGAGAGUGGUAGAGGAAGAUGGAAUUCCAGGUGUAGUGGUGAAAUGCGUAGAUAUCUGGAGGAACACCAGUGGCGAAAGCGAUCUUCUGGACCAUUUCUGACGCUCAGACGCGAAAGCUAGGGUAGUAAACGGG